rnacentral:tRNA from 1 species
UUCGCACGCUGGGAAUCGAACCCGGGCCUCCAGGGUAAGAGGCAAGUAUCCUAGCCACUAGAUCACGUGGGA